GUUGUGGCUCAGUGGUAGAGCGCUCGCCUGGCAUGUGCGAAGCCCUAGGUUCAAUCCUCAGUACGACA
rnacentral:tRNA from 1 species